CUUUUGCCAAGUUGCCUUGAAACUCAGGCGGCUCAUUCACAUCUGUUACCUGGACCGUCAGGACCUGCAGAGAAAGAAACCCAUGGAAAGUGGAGAGAUGUGGAAAGGUGACAAAGCUAUCGGUUUUUGUGGUGGCGGCAGUGGUUUAAAAGAAGACAAGAAAGGAGGGAAAGAGAGAAGGAAGGAAGGGA